UAUGGGACAGCAGGGAGAGAGGCAGAGAGGAGGGUGGCCUGGUGCCAGCUCUCAGCCACAGAGUAGAUAGUCAUGAUAAGACCAGAGGUUAAACGUGGAUUCUGGUGGGUUUCUAGUUGCAUUACUCCAUUCUGGAGGGGAUAAAAGGAGCUUGUUCAUCUUAAGGCUAAAACAUGAAGCCAAAGUACGGGUCUGAAAAAUAUCCUGGGAGUGACUUCACCUCCCUGGAAUAACAUCAACUCUUCCCACAGCGGUGGGGAGCACAGAGGACAGCCUUCCCUAACAGAUGGCUGUGCUGCUUUUCCAUCACACAGAAUAAUGCUGUUCACCCUGACAUAUCAAGGGCCUUGUUUUGGAUUCAGGGCUCCUGUUCCCUCCUCAGGCUUGCUCAGGUGGAGGAAGCCCAAACUACAGGACUGUGGGCCGGGAAGAGCUGCAGGAUGGUAGCACACAUUCCCCAGCAGAUGCUCAGCGCUUUCGUCAAAAGCAAUUUAACAAGGAAGAACUCCCAGUGGCCCACCAAGUGCUUGCGCUGGCACAAAGGAAAGGCCACCUUAAGACAUGGUGUGAAGGCAGCAUCUACAAGCCAGAAAGAGAGUCCUCCCCAG